AUUGAACGCUGGUGGCAGGCCUAACACAUGCAAGUCGAGCGGUAACAGAUCCAGCUUGCUGGAUGCUGACGAGCGGCGGACGGGUGAGUAAUGCAUAGGAAUCUGCCCGAUAGUGGGGGAUAACCUGGGGAAACCCAGGCUAAUACCGCAUACGUCCUACGGGAGAAAGGGGGCUCCGGCUCCCGCUAUCGGAUGAGCCUAUGUCGGAUUAGCUGGUUGGUGAGGUAACGGCUCACCAAGGCGACGAUCCGUAGCUGGUCUGAGAGGAUGAUCAGCCACAUCGGGACUGAGACACGGCCCGAACUCCUACGGGAGGCAGCAGUGGGGAAUAUUGGACAAUGGGGGGAACCCUGAUCCAGCCAUGCCGCGUGUGUGAAGAAGACCCUCGGGUUGUAAAGCACUUUCAGUGAGGAAGAACGCCUGGUGGUUAAUACCCAUCAGGAAAGACAUCACUCACAGAAGAAGCACCGGCUAACUCCGUGCCAGCAGCCGCGGUAAUACGGAGGGUGCGAGCGUUAAUCGGAAUUACUGGGCGUAAAGCGCGCGUAGGUGGCUUGAUAAGCCGGUUGUGAAAGCCCCGGGCUCAACCUGGGAACGGCAUCCGGAACUGUCAGGCUAGAGUGCAGGAGAGGAAGGUAGAAUUCCCGGUGUAGCGGUGAAAUGCGUAGAGAUCGGGAGGAAUACCAGUGGCGAAGGCGGCCUUCUGGACUGACACUGACACUGAGGUGCGAAAGCGUGGGUAGCAAACAGG
rnacentral:rRNA from 1 species